GCCAGGCAUGGUGGUGCGUGCCUGUAAUCCCAGCUACUCAGGAGGCUGAGGCAGGAGAAUCACUUGAACCCAGGAGGCGGAGGUUGCGGUGAGCUGAGAUCACACCACUGCACUCCAGCCUGGGUGACAGAGCGAGACUCUGUCUCAA
rnacentral:SRP_RNA from 1 species